rnacentral:rRNA from 1 species
AGAGUUUGAUCCUGGCUCAGAACGAACGCUGGCGGCGUGCUUAACACAUGCAAGUCGAACGGUAACAGGGACUUCGGUCUGCUGACGAGUGGCGCACGGGUGAGUAACGCGUGGGUAUCUGCCUAUUAGUGGGGGACAACUACCGGAAACGGUAGCUAAUACCGCAUAAUCUCUACGGAGGAAAGCGAGGGAUCUUCGGACCUCGCGCUGAUAGAUGGGCCCGCGUCUGAUUAGCUUGUUGGUAAGGUAAUGGCUUACCAAGGCGAUGAUCAGUAACUGGUUUGAGAGGAUGAUCAGUCACACUGGAACUGAGACACGGUCCAGACUCCUACGGGAGGCAGCAGUGGGGAAUAUUGCACAAUGGGGGAAACCCUGAUGCAGCGACGCCGCGUGCGGGAAGAAGGCCUUCGGGUUGUAAACCGCUUUCAGAUAGGAAGAAGGGAUGAGAGUUAAUAACUCUCUGACUUGACGGUACUAUCAGAAGAAGCACCGGCUAAUUUCGUGCCAGCAGCCGCGGUAAUACGAAAGGUGCGAGCGUUGUUCGGAUUUACUGGGCGUAAAGAGAGUGUAGGUGGCUUAUUAAGUCGGAUGUGAAAUCCCAGGGCUCAACCCCGGAACUGCAUUCGAUACUGAUAGGCUAGAGUUCGGGAGGGGAAAGCGGAAUUCCGUGUGUAGCAGUGAAAUGCGUAGAUAUACGGAGGAACACCUGAGGCGAAGGCGGCUUUCUGGACCGACACUGACACUGAGACUCGAAAGCGUGGGUAGCAAACAGGAUUAGAUACCCUGGUAGUCCACGCCGUAAACGAUGGAUACUAGAUGUCCGGAGGUGUCGAACCCUCUGGGUGUUGCAGCUAACGCAUUAAGUAUCCCGCCUGGGGAGUACGGUCGCAAGACUAAAACUCAAAGGAAUUGACGGGGGCCCGCACAAGCGGUGGAACAUGUGGUUUAAUUCGACGCAACGCGAAGAACCUUACCUGGAUUUGACAUCCCGUGACCGCCUGAGAGAUCAGGUUUUCCUUUCGGGGACACGGUGACAGGUGCUGCAUGGCUGUCGUCAGCUCGUGUCGUGAGAUGUUGGGUUAAGUCCCGCAACGAGCGCAACCCCUGUCCUUAGUUACCAUCAGGUUAUGCUGGGUACUCUAGGGAGACUGCCGGUGAUAAGCCGGAGGAAGGUGGGGAUGACGUCAAGUCCUCAUGGCCUUUAUGUCCAGGGCUACACACGUGUUACAAUGGGAGUUACAAAGAGCAGCGAAACGGCGACGUCGAGCGAAUCUCAAAAAAACUCUCUCAGUUCGGAUUGCAGUCUGCAACUCGACUGCAUGAAGUUGGAAUCGCUAGUAAUCGCAGAUCAGCACGCUGCGGUGAAUACGUUCCCGGGCCUUGUACACACCGCCCGUCACACCAUGGGAGUUGAUAGGGGCAGAAACCGUUGAGCCAACCUUUUCGGAGGAGGCAGGCGUCUAAGCUCUUGUUGAUGACUGGGGUGAAGUCGUAACAAGGUACCCAA